rnacentral:rRNA from 1 species
AUUGAACGCUGGCGGCAUGCCUUACACAUGCAAGUCGAACGGUAACGCGGGGCAACCUGGCGACGAGUGGCGAACGGGUGAGUAAUGUAUCGGAGCGUGCCCAGUUGUGGGGGAUAACUGCUCGAAAGAGCAGCUAAUACCGCAUACGACCUGAGGGUGAAAGCGGGGGAUCGCAAGACCUUGCGCAAUUGGAGCGGCCGAUAUCAGAUUAGGUAGUUGGUGGGGUAAAGGCCCACCAAGCCAACGAUCUGUAGCUGGUCUGAGAGGACGACCAGCCACACUGGGACUGAGACACGGCCCAGACUCCUACGGGAGGCAGCAGUGGGGAAUUUUGGACAAUGGACGCAAGUCUGAUCCAGCCAUGCCGCGUGCGGGAAGAAGGCCUUCGGGUUGUAAACCGCUUUUGUCAGGGAAGAAACGGCCCUUUCUAAUACAGGGGGCUAAUGACGGUACCGUAAGAAUAAGCACCGGCUAGCUACGUGCCAGCCGCCGCGGUAACAC